GUCGCCGACAUGAGUACGGGCCGUCCCGAGCACAGCAGCAGUCACUGCGUCUUGCAGGGACGCAGGUGGGUGCAGCGCUCUGCAGCAGCCCAGGCUCUGCCUACUCACCCAACUCCGGUCAUUCUGACUUGUCAGGAGUUGAGUGAUUUUCAGUGUGGUCCAUGAGGAAGCAAGAAGCUUGAACCAGGUGAGAUGCUUUUUCCAGCCCUGACACCUGGGACCCUUCCUUGGCAGCAGUUGAUGGCUAUGGGGAGUGAAACAGGACAGUAAGAAAGUAAGGGGAAAAUAUGUGAGAACAGAAAGUCAGGAUGAAGGCAGGAAACUGGAGGGAGCUGGGUGGUAUUCUUUCAGCUAAUUCAAAAUUGGUAUUUGCAAGUGAGUUUCAAAUGUCUGUGUUUUUCAU
rnacentral:lncRNA from 1 species